rnacentral:misc_RNA from 1 species
CAAAAAACCAUGGAAGAAAAAGAGGAGACGAAGAAGCAGAACAAGAAGCAAAAGCACCAGCACCCGAAUGAUCAAACCACUAAACCGGCAUCUGAUUUUUCUUUCAGGCCUAGCUCAGAAGUGAAGGGUCUUCGUUUUGGAGGCCAAUUCAUAGUAAAAUCUUUCACCAUCCGGCGAGCAAGGCCACUUGAGCUUCUAAAAGUUCUCUCUUAUCCACCAACAAAUCGGAACAACAGCAGCAGCAAAAUCCCUUUCCCCUCAACAAUAGCUUUCUUGCCUACGAACUUCACGAUCUUAGCC